GCGAAAGCAGGUCAUAGUGAUCCGGUGGUUCUGAAUGGAAGGGCCAUCGCUCAACGGAUAAAAGGUACUCCGGGGAUAACAGGCUGAUACCGCCCAAGAGUUCAUAUCGACGGCGGUGUUUGGCACCUCGAUGUCGGCUCAUCACAUCCUGGGGCUGAAGUAGGUCCCAAGGGUAUGGCUGUUCGCCAUUUAAAGUGGUACGCGAGCUGGGUUUAGAACGUCGUGAGACAGUUCGGUCCCUAUCUGCCGUGGGCGCUGGAGAACUGAGGGGGGCUGCUCCUAGUACGAGAGGACCGGAGUGGACGCAUCACUGGUGUUCGGGUUGUCAUGCCAAUGGCACUGCCCGGUAGCUAAAUGCGGAAGAGAUAAGUGCUGAAAGCAUCUAAGCACGAAACUUGCCCCGAGAUGAGUUCUCCCUGACCCUUUAAGGGUCCUGAAGGAACGUUGAAGACGACGACGUUGAUAGGCCGGGUGUGUAAGCGCAGCGAUGCGUUGAGCUAACCGGUACUAAUGAACCGUGAGGCUUAACCUUACAACGCCGAAG
rnacentral:rRNA from 1 species